rnacentral:rRNA from 1 species
AGCGAACGCUGGCGGCAGGCCUAAAACAUGCAAGUCGAACGCCCUAGCAAUAGGGAGUGGCAGACGGGUGAGUAACACGUGGGAACGUGCCUUUUGGUUCGGAACAACACAGGGAAACUUGUGCUAAUACCGGAUAAGCCCUUACGGGGAAAGAUUUAUCGCCAAAAGAUCGGCCCGCGUCUGAUUAGCUAGUUGGUGGGGUAACGGCCCACCAAGGCUACGAUCAGUAGCUGGUCUGAGAGGAUGAUCAGCCACACUGGGACUGAGACACGGCCCAGACUCCUACGGGAGGCAGCAGUUAGGAAUCUUGGACAAUGGGCGCAAGCCUGAUCCAGCCAUGCCGCGUGAGUGAUGAAGGCCUUAGGGUUGUAAAGCUCUUUCAGCGGGGAAGAUAAUGACGGUACCCGCAGAAGAGGCCCCGGCUAACUUCGUGCCAGCCGCCGCGGUAACAC